CGGAAAACAUGCACCUGUUAGCGAGGGCGGCGGCGGGCGGGAGCGGGGCCGCGCCGCCCCCCGCGCCCCUCCCGCGGCGCCCCUUACUCGAUGAAGAAGACGCGGCCGUCCCUGCAGACGCCGUAGGACCAGUGCUCAGGGGCAGGUGCCGGGAAAGAGCGCGGGAGCCAGACAGUCACGGCGACUCCCCAGCUUCUUUCCUCAGCUCUAGUACCUACACCCAGUGCUUGCCUGCAGAAGCUGUGAGCUCAGAAAGCUCUUGCUCAAGAUCCCGUUUCAUUGAUUUUCUUCAGUUCUUGCAAUGAAAGAGACUGGGGUCACUAGUGCAACCUCCUACAGUGUCAGCAUUGAUUUUAGACCAGCUGGCCCAAGCCUUUGUCCAGUAACUUGAAGAGCUCUAUUCCAAAAUUAAGAUCAAGAUGAAAACUUAGUCUAGAUUCAUAAAAGUUCACAAGCUGACUUGUGUUGGCUUCAUCAGGAGGUAGGUUUGUGAUUUAGAGCCCUGGAGGAAGAAUGCCUCCAGGCAUCAUUCGUUAAUAGGAUUACCAGAUUCUUCUGGUUUUGCUGUUCUUUUAUUUUUUCUUUUUCAGGCUCUGGUUCCAGUCCUCCCUGGCUGACAUCAGACACUUUUCUAUUACAUAUCAUUCAUUGCACUCUAGAGGCACUGUCUGGAAGAAACUAUUUGGGGUAAAAUUAGCACCUUAAGGCCACAAUAUCUGGAACUCAGCUAAAGGAAGUGAAAUAUGCUCUUCAACGAGGGUCUAAUAAAAGCUGGGAUAUUUGAAGUUCCCUUUGUUGAUAACUGGGUAAUUCAAGGAGACAUCAUGAGGUCCCUGAACACUGCAAGUUUGAAUCCACAUUUGACAGCUUUAUAGGAAUGUGUCACUAAUAUUAUUUGUUCUGUCUGCAUCCUUUGGGAACACUUUUUUGGAUGACUUCAUUAAAUUGGGAGAGCAGUGAUACAUUUUAAGGUAUGCCAAAAUCUGUAUCUGCACUUUCAUGGAAACGGAGAAUCACAGAAUGGUUUAGGUUGGAAGGUCACCUCAUUCCAACCCCCCAGCCCUGGGGAACAGGGACACCUUCCACUACCCCAGGCUGCUCAGAGCCCAUCCAGCCUGGCCUUGAACACUGCCAGGGAUGGGGCAUCCACAGCUUCUCUGGGCAACCACCCUCACAGCAAAGAAUUUAAUCCUAAUAUAUAUUCUAAACCUCUCCUCUUUCAGUGUUUAUUACCCUUUUCCUAUCACUACAUGCCCUUGCUAUUUCCAGAAUAAACUCACUGAGUAUGGACAUCCUUUCUACCUCAUCCCUUUCUUUUCAGCCCUUACAACCCAGCUUCACCCUGGCAGUGGCAACAUCCAAAUACUCUCAUUUCCUCUUUUUAUCACUUUCCUUACACAUACCCCCACCCUUUGCACCAUUCAGGUCUGCAUGUUUCCCUGCACUUUUCAACCCUUCAUAUGCUAUAACUUUUCAACAAAACAUGGAGUAGGAAUUUGCAAAUAAUGCAGGAGACACUAUAGGAGAAUCACAAAAAAAGAAAAGAAAAAAUAAAGGUAUCAUUUCCUUCAGUCAUAAUUAGAUCCAGUGUCUAGAAGGUUACAGAAUCACAGCUGGAUUUCAGCAUGGUGUGUACUCUAAUGAUCUAUUUCCUAUUUUUCAGAGAAUUCAAUACAAUUGAAUUUGAUGAUCUUAGAGGUCAAAAGCUGCUGCUAUUUCAGGAAGCUUAAAUGAGGUACAAUGCAUAGAAAAGCCUGCUAGUUAUGACUUUUUCAUCAUGACCUGUAUAUUUUAUAAGGGAUAAGCACGACUUAUAAAAGGUGUGAGGCCAGACAGAGGCAGAGCAUUUGAAGAGUAAUGAAUCUGAAUUAUUAAAUCCUGGUUAAGAAAGCUUAUAAGGCAUAAUGCAAAUCAUGUAUUAUGCCCUUUAGCUGCAAAACAUGUAUUAUGCCUUUUAGCAUGAUUUUCCAGCUCUGCUUCAAACAGCUGAGAAUUAAAAUCAUGAGAGGUUUCAUGGUGAGACAGGAAGACAAUUUCAGAGCAGUUCAUUGUCUGAUUACACUGAAAUAUUGGUUGUGCAACCACAUUGUUCUUCAGGAUUGUGCAGUGUGGUUCCCAUCUAGCAGUGGUAAGUGCUUAAGACACUAGAAAUUAAUACAUUGAUUCUUAGAGGUAGAAGAAUGUAUUAAUCAGACAAUAGGGGAAAUAGGAAAGAGAUCUUGGAGACAUUAGGCAAAUCCACAUUCCUGGAAAAUUUACCAUGCCUUUCCUCCAAAACUGCAACACUUUUUCAGAUUAUGAAGGAAUUACACUAAGCAAUCACUAUGAUAUAUUUGUUCAAAUUGGGGAAAACAACUUCAGCUGUUGGAUUCUCAGACAGCAUGGGGAAAAGCCAUCUCAGGAGUACCAGCAGAACUCUUCAAUUUGAAAAAAAAAAGGCCAUGCACAGCUAGAGCCAGUGUCAAGAUGUAGGAUGAAGAAGCACUUAAUGAAAUAGACUGAAUAUGCAGAAAGAUUUUUUUUCUAGUCUGAAGUCUUAAGAUUGUUUAAAACAUGAAGAGGACAAAUUUAAUAGAUUCAAGUCCAAGACCAAACAUUGCCUUAGUGGGUAGGGAAAGCAAACAAGAUAACAAAAAGAUCACUAUUGUAUUAUUUUGAAACUAAAAUAUAGUUGAUUAGUUUUAAUACAUACCAAUCAAUUUUAUUCCUUGUUCAUCCAUGUCAGGAUGAGUAGAAAACAGCUUGAUUUGUGCCAAGAUAAAUUUGAAGAUAGAUGACGCAUAAAAAUUUUCCCAAAUGUAAUGAGCAGUAAAGCAGCCUAAGUAGGAAUAUCAUGGUAUUCCCUCAUCACCAGUUUCUACAGGCUGGCUCAGACAAAAUUUGAGUCAGGGAAAUUCCAAGUAUACUUAUUUUGUCUCAGGUCAGGAGCUAUGAAAAGAUGAUCUCACAAGAUCCAUUUUAGUCUAUAUUUCUAGGAAAAGAAAUGCUGGUCCAAAAUGUUACAUUUUUUUAGAAAUAGAUGGACAUCAAAAAUUGUCAUCUCCUGGUAGGUACUAAAGAGCACCUUAUUGAGUGUCUAUCUAGUUGACAGUAAGAAUUCAUGGCAACCUCUUGAAUUUCAAGAUUUCUGUUAUUUACAAGGAGAGGAAGGACCAUCCCUGAUACAUUUAAGAAAGAUAAGCAACUUGCACAAUGGUACUACUGAUGACAGGACUAAAUAUAGAGCGUGUACUCAUUCCUGAUCUGGAGUGUUUUCUGUUGAACCACACAACCUACAGAAGUCAGGAGAGCUAGACAGAAGGAAGGGCAAGAGUCACAAGAUAUGUACAAAAAUUUGGCACACCAUCUGCAAGACAUCACCAUUUCCAGCCUAAGCACUUUCCAGGACAAAAUUAAUAUAUACAUUAAUACAAUGCCAAAUAAAUCUUGGGCAGAACAGAAAAGGUAUUGUCACCAAUAGAUGGUGUUUGACCUUUUUAUAAGGGGUGACAUUAAAUGAAACAUCUUCUACAUCUUUUUAUACAGGGCAGUUUAUGCUGUGGGGAAAGUGAUGGCAAAUUUUAGACAAAGUAAGAUUUUUGGAGCCAAUUUUCCUUGCAAUAGACUGAGAAGUUUUCCUGAAUUUCCAUGGGACCUAUGUCAGACAACAUAAUGCUGAGAGCACCGAAAGAUAAAUAUAGCUGAUAAAAUAAGAAAGAUUAAAUAAUGGUAAAUCUAUUGUUGAAGGAAUUCCAAAUACGGAAAAAGGAAUUAUUCAUUUUCCUGGCCACUGGAAAGAAUAUAAACAAGUUCAAAUUAUAUCCACAGUUCCUUUGAGGAAGAUAUGGAGCAUGACAUUGUACAAGAAUAGUUUGGAGGGUCACUGUCUCCCUGUGCAGCAGGAUCUGACUGGAGACUGCACACAGGCAUCAGCCCAGACAAUGACACUGCUGAGCAAGACAGAUGGGAAAAUGACAUUGAGAAGGCAACACUGGUGCUGCAUAACAAAUCCAAACUUCUCCUUCCAAAGCAUGCUGAACUCUCCUACGAGUAAAAAAAAAAAAAAGGUAAUUAUCUUCAGUUAAAAGGUUUUCUUUUCCAAACCACCAUUGGUUUUCAAAAGUAUGUUCUCACUGAAAGUACCCUUUGUGAAAUGCAGAAGAUAUCUUCAAAAUAAUUCUGUUUUCCUUACAAAUGUCCUUCAUGUUUAAAGACAUCCUACUGAUUUACCUUCUAGGUGCAAACCCCUGAAUAUAUCCAAUUACCUCUCUCUCACCUGACUAUCCAUUUGCCCAAAAGAAUUAUAUUCAUAGAAUCAAGUUAAGCAUGUCCCCUGAAAUGCACAAAAAUGCACACAAAAGCAAAAAUGAAUGAAUGCAUUCCCUAAUUACUGUCAAUUUACAAUUUCCUGUCACACAAGCUUUUAUGAUUACUAUAUUUUAAAUAGUUCCAUCUCCUCUUCAUUUUCUCUCUUUUGCAUUUCACAGUCUCAAUAACUUACAUGCCCAGCACUUAGAAUCCACAUACUAGCAUAUAUUUGGUGAUCAAAAAUUAAACUAAAUAACAAAUAGUCAUAAUUUUCUCAUGACAACUCUUAUCAUUCCAAACAGAGGUGGCAAUAGUUAAAUGUCCGCACAGUGUUCAAGUUAUUUGUGGAAGGGAGAAAUACAAAAGAACAAUUAUGUGCCAAAGUCAUGGGAUCAUUUCCAGAAAUUUAACUUACAUUUUAUAAUGAACACUUGAGGGUAUUUUUCUUUCUUGGCAAAGGACACUGUAAGCCUGGCAGCACUGAAAAACCCUCAGUUCUUCAAAUACUGAAUGUACCUGUAACUAUCGACAUUUGGUUUGUUUUAAAGCAGACUCUUGAAGUCAAUUCCAUAUUUAUGAACACACACUCCCUGUCAUUCUAUGACACCUGAGUACGAAGAGAUCCUUUUUUAGGAAAUGGGACAAAUGCAAAGACAAACAUCACUAAUCCUUAAGACUAAAAUCUUCAAAAUUUUAAAUCAAACUGUUCAAUUCUCUCAUGUUUCCUCUGAAUUCACUUUCCUGGCUCCUCCCUAAGUUUGCUCUCUGUUUGCUUUGGAAGACCUAAAGUAUCACCCUGGAGUCCCCAUAGCAGUAAUAGAAAAUAACCUGUUCAACAGGAUGUUUUAAAUUUGAAUAUGUCAAAGAUAAAACAUAUUUUCACCUCAUUUUCUUAAUACACCCAUAAAUAACUUGCCACUACUCUGUAGAUCACUUAACACACCUCUAUGCGUACUGAUAGCAAACCCCACACAAGACUCCAGACAAAAAUCCAUUUUAGCAUCUUCUGCCCUACCUUUCCAGGAAUGUUACCUUCUCAGCAGGCUUGCCAAGGUGUCAAAGUCCUCUAAAUAAAGUCCUCUAAAUAAGCUUUUACCAGGCAGGACAAUCUCUUCCCGUUGUGGUCCCCCAAAUCCUUUUUUCAAAGGAUUUUCCUCUGCAAAAGAAUCUAAGAUUUUGAUUAUCUGCUUGGCUCCAGAGGGAGGUAGAUGAGGGUUAAGCAUUCUCCAUUUUUCAGCAACAUGAAGUGUGCAUACCUCACCACAGCUUUCCAAGAUCCAACUUCUCUCCAGUUUCUUCUUGCCUUUUGUUACAAUCUCAGCACAUGGGCCUUCUUGACAAUUCUCCACAUCUCUUUUUCUCUCCUCCUAUGCUUGGGCUCAGGUCCUUCCAUGGUGUUCAUUCCACAGUCUCUUUUUACACACCUGUACCCCUUCCACUCUUGGCUUCAAUGAUUUGCAACAGCAAUCAGUUUCCAAAGGAAAUGUAAUAAACCAUCUAUAUGUGAGCAUGACAAAGCCAGUAGCUAUAGUAACAGGAAAGCUUUAAACAAAAGUGAAAAAAAAAUAAUCUGAGGGAUAUCAGUCAACUGUUCCUCCAUCCCCAGAUAUUGCACAGUUCCAUAACUGUCCUCCUGUGUUCCUUUGCCUGAUUGUAUCUCCACCUAGCCCAAAACACACUGAGAUAAAAAUAAAACUUUAUUUUGCUUGGCUUAAGGAGGAAAAAUAAAUAAAUAAUCACACACAACAAAACCUGGAAAAGGUUGUCUCUUUCCCUGAAAAAGAAAAAAAAUACAUCUGUUGCAAAUCCAGCACGGGCAAAACUGUCACUAUCGCAGCAGUAAAGGCCACGUGUUGAUACCUGUGACCCAUCUCGCUGUCACACAGAGCUGGAGAGCAAUUUGUGGCAGUGCAGAACAGCACAGGUAACUUUACAAACAGAGGUGCAAGAAAAAGAACCUUCUGCAGGUUCUGGAGCAGAACUGUUGAAUUUAACCGCACCGAGUCAAGGUAAAAAAAAAAAAGGCUUUUUUUCUAACUGUCAUGUAUUUUUUAUUCCCUAGAGCCUGUGUAGGUGGACUUCCACAGAAAAGACCAAAAUACACUCAGGGCCUCAGUUUACUUGACCACUCGAAAGGUCAGCAAGGUCAGCAAAACAUUGUUCAGUAAUUUAGCACCCUUAUACCUGUGUCACACCUUCGCAUUCCUGCAUGUUAGAAUACACAUGUCAAAAUAGAUAAACAGAACAGACUUAAUUCAUACCAAAAAAGCUUUAAUUCAUAGCAAAAAGACUACUAUAAAAUAGUCUAUUUUAUAUAGACUAAAAGAAAUGAAACUGUCUUCGUUUACUGCAGUAUUACCUUCCAAAAAAUUAGUCUUUCUUAUUUGACCCUUCCUUUCCUGAAGGAGUAGGAUUAUUCCAUAUGUCUUUUAAAUAUAUACAAAUGUGUUGCUCUUCUCAAUAAAACCCACCUGAAAUAGAUUUCCUUUUAAUCAGUGAAGUAAGUAGCCAUGGAAAUCAGGAGAGGAAAUGAUGUAUUUCAGCAAGGAAUAGCCUAUUUGUCAAACUAGAAUAUUAUUGUAUCUGAUUCAAUUUUACACAUUGACAUCUAUCCAUUGUUAUUGAUUAAUGGUUAAAGCUCUCUAAGGUUGUUACACAACACUGUUAUAAAUAACUUAUAUUAUUUAGAUACAUAAUGGAUGUGAUCUCUACAAAUGAUGAAUUAUAUCCCCGUCUUAAUUACAGCAUCCUCUGAAAUCUAAUUUAAAUAAUAGUUAAGCAGAUUAAAUUCACAAGCAAGAAUAACAGCAAGGCACUUUGCAAAAUGAUAAAUUUAUGGGGCUUUCCUCUCAGUGCUGUAGAGUUUUGCCACAGAAUGUUUUGUAAAGUAUCAUCUUCCUCAAUAUCUUAUUAGAUCACUGUAAUCUCGAUUUACAUAUUGAUUCAUUCAGUUUCAAUGUCAAUCAAGACAUGAAAAUUUAAUAAAAAACAACUCUAAUUGCUCCUCCGAGACUUAACAAUAGUUACUCCCUAUCAUCUCAGUGGGGCAGACAUCUUUAAGAUGUUCUGUUUUUCAAGCAUAACAAUUGUACGUCUCUUUUGGGCACUGCAUACUCCUCAAAUCAGCAUUUCACUCACUGAGACGUUGUAGGCUGCCUUAACAAUAUAUCACACAGGGGCUACACUUGAUAAAAUCGAAACUGUAUUCUGUCAACAAUAAUUAUGUGGGUGUUUUGCUCAUUUCCUGCUACAGCUGUCCCAUGGCAACAGCGUGAGAACAGCGCUCAUUUUUUAAAUGCAUAAAUGACUGCUUUGAUGACACAUCUCUGGCUCAGGUUUGGCAAAGGCAUGGUGAAAACAAAGACUUUUUUGAGAAACGAUCACAACUAUUUGUAUUAUAUGCAAAUCUGUAAGAAAUGUGCUGAUUCCCAAGUGGAGGCGCAGCUUUGCUGUAGCAAAGUGGCAGAAGUGGCCUGAGGCAUUUCCAGGGACUGAUAACAAACCAGCAUUUGCACUUGAGGCCAUUCUCUCCACCCUCCGUGAAUUUCACAACAAAUACCUCAACCGAAGGUCAUUAUUCCACUUAACCCUGCCUUUGGGGUUGCUGCUGCUCAGGCAAAUCAGAUAAAAUGACGCUAAAAUUCCACAUUUUAUCAGAAUUAUGUCGGUCUGGAGUGCUGAAAAAACAGCUGGUAGUAUUGAUGAUUUUGUCAUAUAAACUCUGGUACAUGAGAAGUCAGCUUUGCAAUUUUCAGUUUUAAUUGUUUUGAGAAUAUUUACUUUUUUAAGAUUGUUUUAUGGCUUGUGAACCAAGAAUAGUUAUUGUACAGACAGUUCAUAAAGCAGUCACAUUAUGAAUUAAGAUAUUGCAGGUUUUAUCCUUGGCUCUGUGAACAUCUAAGCUCCAGUAUAAUAAGACCUGAUGGCAGAAUCAAGUACACCUACAACUCCAGCCUUUCAAAUAUCAGCUUCACUGAGAAAAGUAGCAAAAAUGAUACCAUCAUGGUUAUUUUUUCCUAAUAUGAGCACCCCGACUAAGUUGAUACUAAUACAAUGAGAAACAUCUGGAGAUUAACAAAGUGGACCAGAUUCAAGCUGGAUUUUUAGAAGGAACCAUUUAAUAACCCACCAUAUGUCCCUGGGAGCAUCCUUUCCUUUCAUUUUAACAUUCUAAAGGGAUUUUAAGAACAAAAUGUAGCACUAACAAAAUGUAAAUCCAUAGAUACCUGUAUUUAAGAUAAAGCUAUUAUACAAUUUGAAGAAUAGAACAGUUUUUACACUAGGAGAAAGAAACACAAGUCAGACAACACAUAAUGUCAAGCUGUACACUGGAGUAUUAACAAAGCUCAGUGUGCCUGGAAUGUCCAGAGUGAAUCUUACACUAGCCACAUAUCAAUUGUCUUUUGUAUUGUCACAUGGAUAUAAAGGAAACCAGGAGUGUUUGCUAUCAGCAUCUGAUUAAACACUGAAUUCUAACCAUGGUUUUGGAACAAAGAACAGUUUUAUUUGAUGCCAACCAUUGUCUGUGGCAGGGAAACAGCACAAUUUCCACUCGAAGAGGAUGAAUUCUAAUUCUGAUAAGAUGUGGGGAUGAAAUGCUAACUUAAGCCAAAUGAAUAUUCAUAUAGGAAAGUGAAAAUAGGUGUCAAGGACUUGCUGCACUUAAGUCCUGGGUUACAUGAAAACUGUACACCAUUCAACAAAACAACAAGGUUUCUAAUGAUUACUUUCCCCAUAUAAUUUAUUCAUCUAUUCCAGAGCAGUGUUUCAGGGUUUAAUGAGUAUUUGUAAAGCUCUGACUGAAAUGCACUCUCAAAAUGCAAAACAUUAAACCAUUUACAAUGAAUGAAGUAGUGUAGAUUACUGGUUCAGAAAAGCCACUGCAGCUCAUCAGCAUGUGCAUUUGAAGGGUGUAUUACUUCAGCAGGCCCCUGUUCACAGUCCUGUGCAGUUGAAAGGCUGAGUGUGCUUCCUUCCCACUGAAUCCGCUCUGAUGUCCAGGGACAAAGGACAGCUGAGGAACUUUCUCUCUUCUCUUGUUUCACCCCAUGUCCCCCAUAUUUUGCCCACAUGAGGCAAUCCCAUAUCACAUCUCAAAGAACUGCUUGGAGAAUAAACAAGAUUAAGUAGCAAUAGGAUGGUCUGGGUAGGAAGGGACCUCAAAGACCAUCUCAUUCCAACCCUCACCAUGGGCAGGGACACGCACUAGACCAGGCAGCUGAAAGUCCCAUCCAACAUGGCCUUGAACACUUCCAGGGAUGGGACAUCUAAACUCCCCUGGGUAACCUGUCCCAGUGCCUCAACAUCCCUACUGGGAAGAACUGAAGUCCCCUCUAGUUCCUUGUUUUCUUCCUGGAAGAUCAGCUUUCUGAAUCAGAGGUUUCUGAAAGUCACUGCUACAACAGACGUCUCUGAGCACAAGUGGCAAACAAGAUGACCUCAUGCUUCCAUGUGCUAUCUGC